ACCCAUCCAGGAUGGAAAGCGACGCAGAGGAUGCCGUGUUCGCGGUACCCCAUGGACUGGCACCUGGUGAGCAUGUUGAGAGCAGCCUGUGGAGACAGCACAGGGAUCAGGUGGGAACUGGGGCAAUGUGCUGUGAGAGAGGUGUAUGAAAAGUCAGGAGCUCAGCCACAGCAGAGAGAUGCAGACACUUUCAGAGAUGAUAUACUCGAGGGGUCCUGAGGUCAUUAACAGAGGGGAAAAUGAUCAUAGCACAUACCUUGCUGCAGCGGUAACAGACAGCUUGCACGCCUUCCCAUAAGUAGACUUCUUUGAUUGAACCCGAUCUGCUGGAAAUGUUGGCAAUGGCUGCUUUGCUGCAGCUCAUCCCUGAGCCUGGGCUCCCCUGGGCUGCCUUCUUCAGCAGUGGCAGGAAUGCCUGUGGGGAGCGAAAGGAGAAGCAUGCACAGAGGAGGCUCAUUGUAUGAGCCUGUUCCCUUCGAUAGUAGAUCAUAUCAGAGUAACAGAAUCAGAGAACAGUUGUUGUUUGCAGAUAUCUCUGUAGAUCAUCUGGUGCAACCUCCCCUACCCAAGCAGAGUCACCAAGAGCCCAUUGCCCACGAUCACGUCCAGGUGACUUCUGAGCAU